GGGGAUGUGGCUCAGUUGGUAAAGUGUUUGCCUGGCAUGCACAAGGCCCUGGGUUCCAUCCCCAGCACCCCCC
rnacentral:tRNA from 1 species